rnacentral:rRNA from 1 species
CUUGGGUGAGAGUGGCGGACGGGUGAGUAAUGUCUGGGGAUCUGCCCGAUAGAGGGGGAUAACCACUGGAAACGGUGGCUAAUACCGCAUAACGUCGCAAGACCAAAGAGGGGGACCUUCGGGCCUCUCACUAUCGGAUGAACCCAGAUGGGAUUAGCUAGUAGGCGGGGUAAUGGCCCACCUAGGCGACGAUCCCUAGCUGGUCUGAGAGGAUGACCAGCCACACUGGAACUGAGACACGGUCCAGACUCCUACGGGAGGCAGCAGUGGGGAAUAUUGCACAAUGGGCGCAAGCCUGAUGCAGCCAUGCCGCGUGUAUGAAGAAGGCCUUCGGGUUGUAAAGUACUUUCAGCGGGGAGGAAGGCGAUGGGGUUAAUAACCUUAUCGAUUGACGUUACCCGCAGAAGAAGCACCGGCUAACUCCGUGCCAGCAGCCGCGGUAAUACGGAGGGUGCAAGCGUUAAUCGGAAUUACUGGGCGUAAAGCGCACGCAGGCGGUCUGUUAAGUCAGAUGUGAAAUCCCCGGGCUUAACCUGGGAACUGCAUUUGAAACUGGCAG